rnacentral:misc_RNA from 1 species
AACUUUUAACAACGGAUCUCUUGGUUCUGGCAUCGAUGAAGAACGCAGCGAAAUGCGAUAAGUAAUGCGAAUUGCAGAAUCCGUGAGUCAUCGAAUCUUUGAACGCACAUUGCGCCCCUUGGUUAUUCCGAAGGGCAUGCCUGUUCGAGCGUCAUUAUCACCCCUCAAGCCCUGGCUUGGUGUUGGACUUUAGUUAUAGCUUUGCCUAUCAACUGGUCUCAAAGAUAGUGACGGCGCCCCAGAGGGAACCGGGUACGAGGAGCUUUUUACUAAGCAUGUAUCUGGGACGACUCUGAUGGGCGACGGUCUUGUUAUACUUUUUACCUAAGUGUUGACCUCGGAUCAGGUAGGAAUACCCGCUGAACUUAAGCAUAUCAAUAAGCGGAGGCU